rnacentral:misc_RNA from 1 species
AUGACUUCCAGCAGGGUUAUUGUACCUGUAAUAUUGUUGUUAUAGUACAUCAAAGGUUUCUGGACACUUUCACCCACUGCUUUUAGUCCAGCAAAAUGUAUAACAGCAUCAAACUUGUUAGACUCGAAAAGCUUUUCAACUGCAGGCUUAUCACGCAGAUCAAUAUUGUAAAACAAUAGGUUAGACCCAAAUCGACCCGCAAGUUCCUGAACCCUUUUGAUUGCAAUUGCAGAUGAAUUAUCCAAAUUAUCAACCACCACUGUCUUAUAACCACCCAACAGCAACUGUAACACCGUGUGACUCCCAAUAUACCCAGCUCCACCCGUCACCAAUAUAUUCUUCGACAUUGAUCCAAAUCACAACAAAAAAACCCAAAAAUUAAAGAAAAAAAAGGUUCGAUUUGAGGUUAGAGAAUGAAAAUCUG